AAAAAAAUAUAUUUACACAGCAAAAAUUACUACUUUUUUUAAAGGAUGGGCGCCUCAAUAUUAAAAUUCAAGGUAAAUUAAAUCAGUAUAACUUUUUACUGUCGGAGGCUUCAAUUUUGCUAAUAUGUGUAUGUUUUGGUUCCAAAGAGGGUAUAAAGCCUUUGUAUUUUUUGGAAAUUUAGGUACAUUACUUAAAGUUUAAAGAAUUAACUCCAGGCUCCUUUCGUAAUUAAAUUAUUAAAUUUUGUGGCGAAAAAGGGCACACAAGCGCCGUUAUUCCUCCUGGCUAUUUCUCAUUAUGAACUCAAGAGUUUAGAUUCAGGCUAUUUUUCUAAUACCUUGCUAUAUC